GGGGAAUAUUGGACAAUGGGCGAAAGCCUGAUCCAGCCAUGCCGCGUGUGUGAAGAAGGUCUUCGGAUUGUAAAGCACUUUAAGUUGGGAGGAAGGGUUGUAGAUUAAUACUCUGCACCAAUUGACGUUACUGACGGAAGAAGCACCGGCUAACUCCGUGCCAGCAGCCGCGGUAAUACGAAGGGUGCAAGCGUUAAUCGGAAUUACUGGGCGUAAAGCGCGCGUAGGUGGUUCGUUAAGUUGGAUGUGAAAGCCCCGGGCUCAACCUGGGAACUGCAUCCAAAACUGGCGAGCUAGAGUAUGGCAGAGGGUGGUGGAAUUUCCUGUGUAGCGGUGAAAUGCGUAGAUAUAGGAAGGAACACCAGUGGCGAAGGCGACCACCUGGGCUAAUACUGACACUGAGGUGCGAAAGCGUGGGGAGCAAACA
rnacentral:rRNA from 1 species